GGAUUUAUUGGUUUAAAGGGUGCGCAGGCGGACUAUCAGUCAGUGGGUGAAAUCCCGGGGCUCAACUCCGGAACUGCCAUUGAUACUGUAGGUCUUGAGUUUGGUUGAAGUGGGCGGAAUGUAGCAUGUAGCGGUGAAAUGCAUAGAUAUGCUACAGAACACCGAUCGCGAAGGCAGCUCACUAAGCCAAGACUGACGCUCAGGCACGAAAGCGUGGGUAGCGAACAGGAUUAGAUACCCUGGUAGUCCACGCCGUAAACGAUGAUCACUCGUUGUUGGCAACACAUAGUCAGUGACCAAGCGAAAGCGAUAAGUGAUCCACCUGGGGAGUACGUUCGCAAGAAUGAAACUCAAAGGAAUUGACGGGGGCCCGCACAAGCGGUGGAGCAUGUGGUUUAAUUCGAUGAUACGCGAGGAACCUUACCUGGGCUCAAAUGUAAGUUGACAGUUUCUGAAAGGGAAUUUUCUUCGGACAAUUUACAAGGUGCUGCAUGGUUGUCGUCAGCUCGUGCCGUGAGGUGUCGGGUUAAGUCCCAUAACGAGCGCAACCCCUAUUCUUAGUUGCCAUCAGGUCAUGCUGGGGACUCUAGGAAAACUGCCUACGCAAGUAGAGAGGAAGGUGGGGAUGACGUCAAAUCAGCACGGCCCUUACGUCCAGGGCUACACACGUGCUACAAUGGCCGGUACAGAGGGCAGCCACCUGGUGACAGGGAGCGAAUCUCGAAAGCCGGUCUCAGUUCGGAUCGAAGUCUGCAACCCGACUUCGUGAAGCUGGAAUCGCUAGUAAUCGCGCAUCAGCCAUGGCGCGGUGAAUACGUUCCCGGGCCUUGUACACACCGCCCGUCAAGCCAUGGAAGCUGGGGGUACCUGAAGUCGGUAACCGUAAAGGAGCUGCCUAGGGUA
rnacentral:rRNA from 1 species